rnacentral:lncRNA from 1 species
UGCAUUAAAAUAAAUAAAAGUAGUGCGAGUGCGGAAAGUAAAUAAAAGUAGUGCGAGUGCAGAAAGUAAAUAAUUUAAAGCGAGUGCGGGAAAUAAAUAAACUAAAGGCGAGUGCAGGAAAUAAAUAAAGUAAAGGCGAGUGCGGAAAAUAAAUAAAGUAAAGCGAGUGCGAAAAAUAAACAAAGUAAAAGCGAGUGCGAGGAAAUAAAUAAUUUAAAGCGAGUGCGGAAAAUAAAUAAAGUAAAGGCGAGUGCGGGAAAUAAAUAAAGUAAAGACAAGUAAUAAAAACCUGCUCCAAUCGGA